rnacentral:ncRNA from 13 species
GGGCGUGUGGUCUAGUGGUAUGAUUCUCGCUUUGGGUGCGAGAGGCCCUGGGUUCAAUUCCCAGCUCGCCCC